GAUGAACGCUGGCGGCGUGCCUAAUACAUGCAAGUCGAGCGAACAGACGAGGAGCUUGCUCCUCUGACGUUAGCGGCGGACGGGUGAGUAACACGUGGAUAACCUACCUAUAAGACUGGGAUAACUUCGGGAAACCGGAGCUAAUACCGGAUAAUAUCUUGAACCGCAUGGUUCAAUAGUGAAAGACGGUUUUGCUGUCACUUAUCGAUGGAUCCGCGCCGCAUUAGCUAGUUGGUAAGGUAACGGCUUACCAAGGCAACGAUGCGUAGCCGACCUGAGAGGGUGAUCGGCCACACUGGAGCUGAGACACGGUCCAGACUCCUACGGGAGGCAGCAGUAGGGAAUCUUCCGCAAUGGGCGAAAGCCUGACGGAGCAACGCCGCGUGAGUGAUGAAGGUCUUCGGAUCGUAAAACUCUGUUAUUAGGGAAGAACAAAUGUGUAAGUAACUAUGCACGUCUUGACGGUACCUAAUCAGAAAGCCACGGCUAACUACGUG
rnacentral:rRNA from 1 species